GGUGUCCUGGCGCAAUGGUAGCGCGUUGGUUUUCGGUUCUCACUGAAACUCGCCAAAGGUUGUAGGUUCGAGCCCUGCGGACAUCG
rnacentral:tRNA from 1 species